rnacentral:misc_RNA from 1 species
CCGAGUUUACAACUCAUCAACCCAUGUGAACAUACCUAUACUGUUGCCUCGGCGGACAGACUGCCCCGGAGCAUCGGUGCCCGGAUCAGGCGCCCGCCUAGGACCCCUAACUCUGUUUCUAUAUUUGGAAUCUUCUGAGUAGUACAAAUAAAUUA